rnacentral:pre_miRNA from 1 species
AGAGGGAUAGUUGGGUCAAAUGGUGGUUCCAUUCCCAGAUUUCCAAGGAAUCUCCAUACUGCUUUCCAUAUUGGCUGCACCAAUUUGCAGUCCCACCAGCAAU